rnacentral:misc_RNA from 1 species
GCAAGGUUGAAGCGUGACCUGCUCCCAACAAUGAUGAAUGGCCUAAUGUACUGGCCGUUGUGUGAUUUCUUGACAUAUAAAGUAAUCCCUGUCCAUUUGCAGCCAUUAGCCAACAGUGCAUUCGCGUAUGCUUGGACGAUAUAUUUGACGUAUAUGGCCAGUUCCAAGAAAGCCAUUGCUGUUUAGUAAGCAACCCCUUCUCCAGAAGCCUCAAAACAUCACAAAUUGAGAUAAAACUACUGCUGAUCAGUCCUCAUAUUGAGUUGCUCAAACAUUGUUUACAGAAUGAUAUAGAAUAGGUCAAGACCCUUGAUUCAAUAGCUACAAACUGAUUAUUUCUUCCAUUAAUUUUCCUUGUUUUCAAUUUCCA